CGUGGGAAACCUGCCCCUCGGAGGGGGAUAACAGUUCUAACGAGCUGCUAAUACCGCAUACGACCCUGCGAUCGCAUGAUCGGAGGAUGAAAGGUGGCCUCUACAUGUAAGCUGCCGCAGAGGGAUGGUCCCGCGUCCCAUUAGCUUGUUGGUGGGGUAAAGGCCUACCAAGGCGACGAUGGGUAGCCGGCCUGAGAGGGUGUCCGGCCACACUGGGACUGAGAUACGGCCCAGACUCCUACGGGAGGCAGCAGUCGAGAAGCUUCGGCAAUGGGCGAAAGCCUGACCGAGCGACGCCGCGUGAGCGAUGAAGGCCUUACAGGUUGUAAAGCUCUGUCAGAUUGGGAAGAAAACUCCGAGAUUAAUACCCUCGGAGCUUGACGGUACCAUCAGAGGAAGCACCGGCUAACUCCGUGCCAGCAGCCGCGGUAAUACGGAGGGUGCGAGCGUUGUUCGGAUUCACUGGGUAUAAAGGGUGCGCAGGCGGCCCGAUAAGUCAGGGGUGAAAUAUGCCGGCUCAACUGGCAAACUGCCCCUGAAACUGUUGGGCUUGAGUCCGGGAGAGGAAGGUGGAAUUCCUGGUGUAGCGGUGAAAUGCGUAAAUAUCAGGAGGAACACCGGUGGCGAAGGCGGCCUUCUGGCCCGGUACUG
rnacentral:rRNA from 1 species